AUCCCAUGGUGUGGACACUUUCGCUGCAUAUUCUUGAAUCCAUUCCAGGCUUUAUCGAAAUUUUUCGAGUCGCCUUGGCGAAAACAGAGAUUUCGUGCUUGAGCUU
rnacentral:snoRNA from 1 species